CCCAGAGGUUAUGGGUUCGAACCCUGUCACGGCAUGCUUCCCAUCUUGUGCCCUCAGGAGAAGCACUGUACACGACUUUCCUGACUACGCCCAGGUGUAAAAAUGGGUACCUGACUUCGGUCGGGGAGAUAAAAGAAGGUCGAAGGAGAGGGGUGGGCUCUGCCUUCCAAUACCGUCCCCUACACACAUGUGGAUAAUAAUUCACUGUCCUCAUAAAUGCUGAGAGACUACUAUCACCUUUACAUGAACCUUUAUCUUGGUCUUUGUCACCUCGAUCAAAAGGUUAAGGGCGGUUGCCUUGUUCUUAGGUUUCAUGCCAGAGGCCAGUGACCAAACAAAAAUACUAAAGUAAGAGCAUGUAUAGGGCUGAAACACUCUGGCAACUUAAAAGUGUAAGAAUCUAUGGAUGGAUUGUGAUGAUAUUUGGUAGGUUUGUGCGUCUUGUUUUCGGUGUGCUUGUUUGUUGUUUUGGUCUCUUUUCUUAGUUCUUUGAAUAAACCGACAGUACCCUGGCAGGAAGUAAAUAAAUGAAAAGAUGAAAGCAGAGGUCAGAGUUGCCAGAGUGGUAGGAAGUAGAGUUCAGAGGUCAUAGAACCAGUCGCUAAUCAGAUAUGACAUUCCAGGUCAUGGGUCAAUGGAGGAGGCUAUUGUUUUGGGCUUUCUACUUGUUUGUAUUUUUUAGAUUAUACAUUUUCCAAUUAUGCAAUUGCUAGUCACCAUACAGAGACAAAAAAGUGACACAUCUUGACAAAGCUUUUUUGCAUCAUUGAUGAACUAAAACCAAACAAAACAUAUGGGAAAUUCUUAAUAUUUCACGAAGUCCUGAUGUCUUAGGAGCUAGGCAGAUUAAUUGUAUCAAUAUUGAACGAUAUCAUUCUAUAUGUCAAUAUAUAUGCUUAUAUGCCAAUAUAUAUGCCUAUAUGUCGAUCUAUAUGUCAAUCAGUAUAGAUUUUGUCGUGGGAUUUCUUGACCAGAUAUGACAUAGCUCAUUUAGAGAAGGCCCAAUAGCAGCCUUUUCAGUAACAAGAGAAACUCUUGUCAAAGAAUUAUCACAACCUUCUGUAUAUAAAAAUUUCGGUGAUGUCAGUAAAAUUACUGUCCUAUGAUAUCAACAAAUUUCAAAAAGUCACCAGCGAACAAAACUUUCCAGCCUCGUCUACCUCAACGCGGUGCCAUGUUUUUAAUACUUCACAGAAAGAUAUUUUAGAAUUCUAAAUAUAAAUAGAUGUUGGCGCUAAUAGAUUUACCCAGAAAAUACUUUUUCUGAACAUUUGACAAAUUAGAUUUUUUAGAUUAAUAUUUUACCCGCUCUUAGAAUCAGCCAGAUAAUUUUGAUACUGAACUUCCUAUUGUUUUCUAUUCUUCUUGGUGAAACGCUGUAAAGGUUUACUACAAAUUUAUACAACGAAAAAUGCCUUUGACAAUACAAGAAGACGGGGAUGUCCGGAUUACAUGAUAGGGUAGUCACGCCACCUGGCGGGUUAAAGAAAUAUCACAGCCUUCUGUAUAUGAAAGUUUUGGUGAUAUCGGUGAAAUUGUGUUUGAUAGUCUAUUUGCUUCUUCUAUAAAAUCAACAUAUUGUGGAUUUGCACCGAUCUAGACAUAUUGAUCACACUGUGUUCAUGUAUUUUUAUUAGGCAAUACUGCCUUAAUUUUAUUCAUUGAUGACAUCUUUUGCAUUUUGAAAAUGGAAAAAUUGUGGAAACGGACUAUGUAAAAUAAUUAACAUACACAAUAAUGUUCCAGCUAUUAUAUUGUUGUAAGUAUGUUUCCAUAAACAUUUGCAUAUGUAGAUUAUAUAUUUCUUGUAUUGAUACGUAGAAUACGCAAGUAGAAUGGUGGCCUGUGCUGAUAUAUAGUUGUGCUAUUUUCAAUGUGUGACUUUAUCUUCUACAUUGUAAUUUGUACUUUUCAUACUAUUGACGUUUGCUCUUGACAAUCUUGAUCACGAAAGCCGCACACCCUACAGUAGACAGACUGCGCACAAUGUCCUUACAAAUAAAAAUUUUGUCAAU